rnacentral:misc_RNA from 1 species
CUGGUAAAAAAGGUGAAAACCUUUUUUACCCCCAAACUCUGUGCAAUGGAGCACACGGCUUAUGCAUCGAUGAAGCCCGCGGCAAAAAGCGAUAUGUAAUGAGAUUCGUUAGCCUCGCGAUUCAUCAAAUUGGUGAACACAUACUGGACCUCUUCGGAGGUACUUGCGUUAGAGUGCUAGUUUUAUAUCAAUUGAUCCUGGUAAAAGGUGUUUGAAUCAUUAGGUUCUUACGCCCUAGCCGGUGUAGCCGGGUUCUCUCUGAGAAUUCGGAUUGUUCUUGGAAACAUAUCAAUGUGUUGGUGGGUUUCUUCUCUAGUCUUUACAUUUUUUUGGCUAAAGAGAGAUCUAUCGCAUUAUUGUCUGUCCCAGGUCAAUCUUCUUUAUACUAAACUGGCCUCUAAUGUGAGAGGGUACCCCCUGGAUUUAAGCAUAU